rnacentral:lncRNA from 1 species
UAAGGAAUUGCUGCUGAAAUUAGCAUAUCACCUUUGCUUUGAGUUCAACCUUGUGCUGAUUUAGCACCAUCAUCCUCUAGCUUCCUUCCCUCUUGGAAGGCCUCCUGAGCUAGAGAAACCUCACACACACUCACCAAACCUCCACUGAACCAUUUCACAAACACUUGGCAUGCACUGCUUUCACCAACAUUUCUUCAUUCCGCUGGCAUUUCUGAAUCCAGAAGCCACUUCAUUCUUGAGGGUGGAGGUCGCUUGCAUCAUUUGGCAUCAAGAGCCAACACGUCCACGCCUUGCUUCAAUAGCUAAGUUGCUAGUUCUUUCAUUUUCUACACUUUCGAAUUGUGUUGUUCUAUAUUUGUCACUGUUUGAUUGUUUUUCUUGCUUCAUUUUGUGUUUGAGUGCAUAAUUGCUUUCGUUCACUAUUCCUUAGUGUUUCUUUAUCAUUUUAAUUGGUGCAAUUCAUUCAUUUUAUUUCAAUUCCAGCUUUAUUUUCAGUUUCGCAUUGUCCACUAUGAUGUGCAAUUUUGUUUGCCGUUUUGAACUUUGUCAAGUAAUUGAUUUUGUUCCAGCUUUAAUUCUUUCGGUUUUGAUUGUGUCCAAUGCAUUUGCUAACUCUAUGUUCAUCAUAUAAAGCAAUGGCAUCAUGUCCAACUUUGAUCAUUUGAGAUAAAGCAAUGCAAUCUUUGUUUCCAGUUACAAAAGCUGCAUAAAAAAAAAUUGAUUUCAGUUUGAUCUGGUGCAAUCUGUUUUUGUCCAUAUUUUGUGCUUCUAAACCUUUGUGCAUGUUUGUUUAACAUUGGUAAGCAUUACUUAAGGUGUAGCAACUCAUAUUAAUCACAGAAUUGCAAAAUGAGUGGUUGAGUUCAUUAAAAUAUGGUUUCAAAAUUUUUGCAUCAAAACUCAUUUCUGGUUUAAUCAUGUCACGUUGUUCUGUCCAUAUUUAUUGAUCCUAAUGCUUGAGACAAGUUUAUUUGAUGAAUUUAAACAUGUUUCAAGUGCUAGAAAUCUGAAUUCACCACUGAAUCUCAAAAUCAGUAGUUGAGUUGAUCAAAACUCUGGUUUUAAAACUAUCACUGUUUUUUAUCAAAGUGUAUGCACCGUGCUUGUCGUCCUUGCUUGAGUUUAGGUCCUUUAAAUUCUGCUAGCUUAUAUUCUACAACUAGAUCUAGUCAUUUAGGACUUUCUUCUGCUUUGAAUGAACCAACUAGCUUUGCAUCCACUGUUUUAUCAACUCUACAACAAUUUUCAAUACAUUUUUCUGCAUUUUAAGCAACUGCUACUGUCAAUUGUUGAUUAUGUGUAUUUUUGUGCUAUUUCAACGUUUGUGCACAUGCAUUUUACCAUUUGAAAGUUGUGUGUACUAUUCAUUGUUCAAUUUUGAGCCAAUGUGCAAAAUCACUUCCUAAACCAUCAAUUUUGCUUAAAUGUGGAAGUUAACUAGUGAAUUUCGAGUGCAAUGUAUUUCUUUGUUGUCUCAGUGCCUAAACACCUUCAAAUUGAUGAUAAAAAGUUGCUCAAAGCAUCAAUUUAUGUUUCCAAACGUCUUUAUACAGAAUAACCCAUUAAACCACCAAAUUUUGCUUAAAUUUGGAAGUGAAAAAUGAUUUUCGAGUGCAGUGUGAUUCCUUGUUUCAGUGUUUAAACACCUUCAAAUUGAUGAUAUAAAGUUGCUUGAAGCAUCACUUGAGCUUUAGAAACACUGCCAGUCAUUUUUGGGUUUGAAAACACACUUUUGAAGCCACUUUUCUGGUGUAGUAGGCUAUUUUGUUGCUUUUUGAAAAUUUUCCAAUCUUUAAAACUCAUUUCUGGAUUGGCAAGAGUUGGUAUGAUGUUUCCAAAUGAAAUUAUAUGAUCAAAACAAUAUAAAACAUCCAUAAAAAGAAAAAGAAAACCAAGCAAUCCAGUUUUGAACCCUAAAACCAAAAAUUCCAAAAAUCUGCACUUCUUUGGGGACUUUCAUCAAACAAUUUGCAAAAUUAUCAAACAGUUUACUGCACUACUUUUGGCUUUUCGUUUUUCCUUUUCCUUGCGUGUUUAAUCUGAUCUAGUGCCUCUCCUAGGUUCCUUUUGUGUGCCUCCAUUGAUUCAAAACUUAAAAUCCUUUGAAAUCAACUUGUUUGGACUCCAAAUCGUGCCAUAAAGUUUCUUACCCGAAAUUAAAAAUUUGGUGUAGUGCAGAGUUGUUGUGACUGGUUUGGUGUGUAGCAGGGUGCUGUGAUGUUUUGGUGAGGCUUCCAAGGUCCAGAAUCCUUGCUCAAAGGGUGUAGCAUCUUAGGAAGUGGAAGAUGUGUUAAAUUGGCUACAAGCUUGCAACUCAAAGUGCCACUUUUUCCUUUCUCAUACAACAACAAUUUUGCAGCAAACACCACACUUUUUUUCUCCCAAUUUUGGACCUGCACAACUCUGAGCCAACAGCCACACUUGGCUUUGUUCACUUGUAAGCAUAUUUUCAUGUAUUUUUUAUUCAUUGCAUCAUGGAACCUUUGCGGUUUAUUUGGCUUUUAUUUUGCAAUUUAAAGUGGCUUGGAAAAAUGCUUUUAAGCAAUUUCAAGUGCACAAUCAAACAUUGUAAUAUCUUAGUUUCCACUUCUUAGUGUGCGAGUGUGUUAAGGGGCUCAAAGUGUCACUUGCACUUUCACUUAGGACCGCAUAUCAUUUUUCAUUGGCAUUGUUUACUUUACUUUGUUGCUUGACUUUUUUGUUUUAAGUCUCCAUGAUACAUAGGAGCGCGUUUCAUUAAAUAAACCUUUGUUUCGUUUCUAUGUGCAUUUCAUUUUGCAUUCAAAAAGCUUUUGAAAGAUUUCUACCUAGAAACUAAGGUAAGAAACAACCAAAAAAACUCUGGCUAAGGAAGGACAAGGUUCUUAAGCUUGUCCAUUGUGACUCACCUCUCCUUCCUGGGAGCUAUUUGGUUCAUUUUACCUCUAGAAUCUUUCUAGAAAUCUUUCACAAAAAUAUCUAAAGAGUUUGAUGUCUUGUUAUAAUUCCUAUAGGUCUUCUUCUUCAUAUAGGUCCUCUUGGUCUUCUAGUUUUGAUAAGCCAAUUGGUUACAAAGACAUUAAAAGAGCACUUGACAAAGUUAGAAGGAAGACUUGUUCAUUUUAUGAAUUUGAGAGGAUUAAGGAUGAUUUAUAUCAUCAAGCUAGGCAAAAUAUUCCAUUUUUUGGUGAGGAUAUUGGUGCAUUAACAUACCUAGCUUGGGAAAGGGAAAUUGAUGACAUGCAUCUGUUCAUUGCUAGAAAAAGUAAACCUAAAUCCUAUUUCUACGUUAGCAAUAGUGCAUCUUAUGUCCUUAGUCUCUACGCAUCUAGCUUUGAAGUACAUGCAAGAGAGAGGUGGGAUGAAAGACAAUAUCAUGUUAGGAUAGGUAGAAAGUCUCUCAUUCGUGAUUGGUAUGAAUUAAAAUCUUUCAUUAGAAAAGAGUUUGUGCCUUCCCCUAUUAAGAGAAACCUACAAUUACUAAGAGCUUACAUUGAAGAUGGAAAAAAAUUUCUUGAAAGCUUAAAUGACAAUGGUUUUCUUAUUAGAGAACUAGAAUUUGAGAUUAAUCUUAAAGUUGAAACUAAAAAGAGAUGUUGAGAGACAAAAAGAGGAAAUAAGAUAAGAAGAAGAGAAGAGAGAGAAGAGAAUAAGAGAGAAGAGAAAAAGAGAGAAGAGAGAAAGAAGAAGAGAGACGAGAAAGACAAAGAAGAGAAAAGGAAAAGAGAAGAGAAGUAGAAAAGAAGAAAGAAGAGGACAAUAGAGAAAAAGAUGAAUUGCUACUGAUGGCAAAUUUAACUCUUCCAAAAAUCAAGACACCUAAAAGGGAAGGGUUCUCAUUCUUUACUUCUUUUCCAAUUCUUGUGCACUCUUCCAUUAUUAUUUUUUCUUUUAAAACAAUUGCCAUUCCAUAUUCUUUGCAAUACUUUUCAAAAGAUGGCAACUCAAAUCUUGAAUUAAUGUUACCCUUGUGUACACAAGUAACUCAAGAUAGAAAUCAAAUAACUUGGGAAUAUGGAAUUCUCCACUUUUCCAAGACUAAUUCUCAUAAAAUCUUUUUCAAAAAUACAAGACUUUCCUUUUGUCUUCUUAUCUUUGCAAAUAUCUCAUUCAUCAUACUAAUUUUUGCUAUUUUUUGUACAUAUAUCUUUGACCCAGGUGGAAAAUAAACACUAAAGUUGUGCUUCUUCUUUCUUCCCAAUUUGAGGACAAAUCAUUUUUAAAGAGGGAGGGAAUGAUGGCAACCCCUUUAGGGACUUUCCAUCCAAAGAAGUAUCAACUAAAACUAAAACUAAAACUAAAGAAAGGGAAAUAGAAUAAAGAUUGCUAAAGCUUUUUCCUUACCUAAGUCUUAGAUAGAUUCUUUCUUAACUAAAUACAUUGUUUUGUAGGACACUAAUAAAGAUUGAGAUGUAUACCUACAUAUCCUAGGAAGCCGCCAAGCAAGAGGGAACAAAGGAGGCUAAGAAGAGUGCAAGUAGUGCAGCUGGCACUCAGCGCACGCGAUGUAUCCCUCAGCGGCAACGGGACAAAUUUCUCUUCUAUUUUUUAGCACGUUUUCAAUGUUUACCAUUGGAACAUGUGGCCAACCGUGACACUUCUCCUGCACACUUCUUCUAGAUUCAUGCACGUGUUUAAUAUGCAACUUAUGUAGCUUCCCUUGCACGUUUCCAAGCUCCUCUUCAUCUAUAAAAAAAAAAGCAUCAAUCCAUUGUAAAACUUAACUUGAAUGACAUAAGGAAUUGCUGCUGAAAUUAGCAUAACACCUUUGCUUCGAGUUCAACCUUGUGCUGAUUUAACACCAUCAUCCUCUAGCUUCCUUCCCUCUUGGAAGGCUUCCUGAGCUGGAGAAACCUCACACACACUCACCAAACCUCCACCGAACCAUUUCACAAACACUUGGCAUGCACUGCUUUCACCAACCAUUUCUUCAUUCCGCUGCCAUUUUUGAAUUGAGAAGCCUCUCCAUUCUUGAAGGUGGAGGUCGCUUCCAUCAUUAAGUCCUCUAUCUGUGUUCCUUGAUCAUAACAUUCAUUCCGUAAAAAAUAUUGGGUAUUACAAUGAAUACUGUGCAAUCAGGAGUAGGUGAAACUCGGUACUAGUCAGAGUACCAGUGGUUACUUGGAGUGACUAGGGAUAUUAGGAGUGGUGAGAAUACUCACUAGUAACCUUCUUGAAGAUUACAGUGGAACCCUCUAAGGUGUUAGAGAAAACUGGACGUAGCUCGAUAGAGCGAACCAGUGUAAAAACGAUCGUGUGCUUAUUGCUUUAUUCUCUUCAAAUGUUUCUCUUACAAAUCCUACCGUUGCACUUUAUUUUAAAUGAUAUAAAAACUCUUGUUAUUCAACGACUCUUUAUUAAAAAGG